UUUCCGUAGGUGAACUGCGGAAGGAUCAUUAUUGAAUGGGACUUUGGCUGGAUGCUGUUGUGCUGGUCCUCUGGGCAAUGUGCACACCUCUGGUCACUUGUUUCUUCUGUUCCACCUGUGCACUGCCUGUAGACAUGCCAAUGGCGUGUCUAUGAUAUUUGUUACACACACGAUGUUAUGCAAGUUGGUUGGCAUAUUACAUGUUAUAAUAAAUAUACGACUUUCAACAACGGAUCUCUUGGCUCUCGCAUCGAUGAAGAACACAGCGAAAUGUGAUAAGUAAUGUGAAUUGCAGAAUCCAGUGAAUCAUCGAAUCUUUGAACGCAUCUUGCGCUCCUUGGCAUUCUGAGGAGCAUGCCUGUUUGAGUGUCAUUAAACUAUCAAAACACUUUUUCUCGAGGUGUUUUGGACUUUGGGAGCACUGUGCUGGUCUCUGUUUGAGCCAGCUCUCCUCAAAAGCAUUAACUUUGAGACCAUCAGUGUGAUAAUUUGUUUGCACUGGCCUUCUUUUUUAACUGCCCCUUUGACCUCAAAUCAGUAGACUACCCGCUGAACUUAAGCA
rnacentral:rRNA from 1 species